GUCUAUGGCCAUACUACCCUGAAUGUGCCUGAUCUCAUCUGAUCUCAGAAGCUAAGCAGGGUCGGGCCUGGUUAGAACUUGGAUGGGAGAAUAUAAAUUUGUAUUACUAAGUAUGCAGUACACA
rnacentral:rRNA from 1 species